rnacentral:lncRNA from 1 species
CCUCAUUCGUGGCAAAUUCCACCAAGUGGCGUCAAGGCCUCCUUUAGACUCCAACUCCAACUCAAAUGAAACUUUGUGGGAAUAUGUCACCAGAAGGCAUCAAACAGACUCUCACACACUGCUGGGAGCUGUUUGUCUGUGUGAAUCACAGAGGCGUUUAGCGUGCAUAUGUGGUAUUUGUCUAGUAUUUAAAGAUGCAUACCUGAGAGUGGGUUCAUCCCCCUUCCAUCUGAUGACUAUUUUGGUCGCUACCCAUGUCCGUUUCCAUGGCAACAUUUUCAGAAAGCUACCAGGUUAGAUCGCUAUCAUAAAGUGAAACAUAUUUUAAAAUUUUUGCAUUGCGUUAUCUUAAAUUGUAAUCUUUGAAAAGAUUCUUUUUUAACUUAAAGUUUGUGUUUGAUAAGAAAAAGUACAUAAAUGUGAAUCGGUGAGGUAAGAGCCGCAAAUUUGUGUGGGUUUAACUUCUUUCUCCCCCAACCUUGAUCUUCGUUGACAUUUAUAGAUUAUAGAUAUUUACAAGACAGCUGAGGAGGGCAAAAAAAUCUUCAGAAAAUUUUCCGCUUAAUCUCUCCUCUAACCAUUUCCACAAGUGUAGUUUGGAGUUAGUUUCUGUGGCCUUCCCCAACCACACCAAAAACUAGUGCAGGGCAAAGGGACGGCAAACGGGGGUGAUGAUGACAGGAGGAGCAGGUUUUCCACGCAGAUACCCUCCCAAUCAGCACAAACACCCAGCCCAACUCAGGUCAACAUUUACAUUUGUUGAAUAGGUCUUCACUUCCCACCAAUGCACACACACAGACACCAAGCUGGGUUAAACUUGGGCACAGGCUAAGGCUGGUCACAGAGCUCAAGGACAGAAAAAAGAGCAUCACAUCAGCUUCCUUUUGGACCUAAAUUUAGAGGCUCUUCCACUGCUGUGGUCUGGAUCUUCAGACGACCUGGGCUUCAGCGCCGACCUGCAGCAGCUUUACGCCACAGUCGUCACUCACUGUAACACGCGAAAACGCAAACUGUCCGAGGAGGAUUGUUCUGCUGCUGAAGAGCCAGACCUGGCCUUGUUACAACCGGCCGUUGGAUCUGUUAAGAACGAACCUGCAGAAAGGGAAGUUGGGACCCAAGAGAAGAUUUCCAAAGAAAAGACAACAGACAGACCUUCAAUCCAGCAGGAGUCGAACGCAGCAGAGCGCCAGUCGUCCAAGCCAAAGAAAAAGAAGGUGGGAUUGUUCAGAUGAGCCUUAGAGGGAGUACAUCUUUUUACAGGAGGAGCUUCGACAUUCAAAAGCUGCUUUUAAAACAUGUUUUGACUUUUAUUCUGAAGGAUGUUUUUGAUCUUUUUACCACUGGCAUUUUAGCUCUGAUAUUGACGCUUUUUGGGUCACUGUAACUCUUAGACUGUUAACGCAAUUAACAUAAUUCCAAGCAACUUUAUGUUUAAAUGUUUCACUUUACAGAAGUGAAUUGUUUACACAAUUAACAUAAAAAGUGUUGCAAAUUAGCACAAACCUCCUUUUCGCAGCUUCAGACUAAAUAGUCGAAGAGUUACAGUAAUUCAAAGACAGUGUGUACUUCCUUUUUGGUGGUGAGAACUCCAGGGCUCCACACUACUGAAGAUGUUGUUGUGUUGUUUGUCUGUUUUUGGAUUUUAGAUUAACCUCUAAUCAAAUCAUUUUACUGCUUUUGAUAAUUCUCAGGUCAUCAGGUUUUAUUCAGCCUUUCCAUUAAACACUAAACAGACUUUCAUUUACAGAUAUAAUCAUAAAUGGAUGUAUGCGCUUUUAAUGUCUUAACCAAUCAACCUUUGUGACUUUUUAAAAUGAGCAUUGUAUAAAUUAAAGGAUUCUGUCAUUUUAUUUCCUCUGUGCUGCAUUUUUUUGUCAUCAUUUUCUGAAAAGUUGUAGGUUUAACCCAAAAUUGGUAUCUAACUAUCUUCUCUUCUUAUCUGAGCUCUUCCUCCUGACA